AACGAACGCUGGCGGCGCGUUUUAAACAUGCAAGUCGUACGAGAAUCCCGGUGCUUGCAUUGGGAGGAGAGUGGCGAACGGGUGAGUAACACGUGGAUAAUCUACCUCUAGGAUUGGGAUAACUACUCGAAAGGGUGGCUAAUACCGGAUAAGAUGGUAACUGCAUAAGCAGUAGCCAUUAAAGAUGGGGACCGCAAGGCCUAUUACCUGGAGAUGAGUCCGCGGCCCAUUAGCUUGUUGGCGGGGUAACGGCCCACCAAGGCAACGAUGGGUAGCCGGCCUGAGAGGGUGACCGGCCACAUUGGGACUGAGAUACGGCCCAGACUCCUACGGGAGGCAGCAGUUAAGAAUCUUGCGCAAUGGGGGCAACCCUGACGCAGCAACGCCGCGUGAGUGAGGAAGGUCUUCGGAUCGUAAAGCUCUGUCAGUUGGGAAGAACUACCCAAGGGUGAAUAUCCCUUGGGCUUGAUGGUACCAACAGAGGAAGCACCGGCUAACUCCGUGCCAGCAGCCGCGGUAAAAC
rnacentral:rRNA from 1 species